GGGAGAGAUGGCCGAGUGGUUGAUGGCUCCGGUCUUGAAAACCGGUAUAGUUAAACUAUCGAGGGUUCGAAUCCCUCUCUCUCCUU
rnacentral:tRNA from 1 species